CAAACGAGGGGCUGGCAGCAUACUUCUGUCCCUCAGGGACCCGAGCGCGGGGCAGACAGGUCUCAUUUUGGAUCUUUUCUUACAGAGCUGAGGUCGUGUUUACUAGAUGAAAACUCGUUACCAUGUUUGUAGUCUUCUAAUUCUAUUUACUCGGGUGUCUGGCAUAUGAAUACCGUUGUAUCCCCAAGUUCGACUUUGAGAUGGAACUCUUGGGAAAACAUGCAUCUGGGAUAAAUCUGGGAUAGAACUGGAGUCUGUCAGAUUUGGAACCGGACGUUCCUUGCAGCGCCAGAAGAACUCGACUCUACCCUAGAUGUAACCGGAAUACUGUACCGAAAUCAAUACUGAAACUCUACAAGAACGGGGGAAAGAUCAGCUGUUCAGUGAAGUCGCCGAAAGACUGGGACACGAGAAGACAAGAACACCGAAACAGCACCUCGAAAUACUUCCUGGCUCAGCGGAGAUGUGCGACCUUUACGACGCUCAAAAAUAGAGACGGGGCAGAGACAGGCAUCUGUAAAGAGCUUGACCGUCUGUUGGAAGAGGAGCUCGAAAGUGUAGAGAUCGCCGUCUAAAGAUCAACUGUGGGGGAGAGGAAGCUUGUAGGUGGAAAUAAAGGCCGAGGACGCUCUCGUGGUGCCCGUGCAGGCGGAAGAUGACGUGGUCGAGUAGCUAGAUUGAGACCUCACCGCUCUGCUGUUUAUUUCUCAUUUCUUUAAAUAUUAGCCAAAAUGUAUUGAAUGGUCUUUGUUUUCUGUUAUUCCAUAGCCAAAUGUUCGUGCUUUUGUGUUUCAUAGUAUCAGUGCCAUCAAACAUACCAUGAUGCUUUUCUUGUAGAUAGUAGCAUAACGGAUACGUGCAGAAUUGAAAAAAAAGUUUAAAUGAAGUACCUUUUGGAUUGUAAAUAUCGAUAGACCUGUGCCUGGUUUGGAUAUCAUAUACUGUAAGUGAAACUGUCUAUAUCAUCUCAAAGGGAAAAGGAAACCGUUAAAUGAAUUUAUCAUAUUUAUUUUCGUUUAAGCUAUGUUUUGGGCAGAGAUCUAGUCACGUGUAACCAUGGAAGAGUAACUAUGGCUUUAUCAUGUUCAUUUAUUUAUAUUCAUAGGAGCGUCUGGAAUAUAUGACAUGUAAUAUAGAACUCUUCUUGCAUACUUAUUGUCGAUGACCUGAGUGUAAUGGACUAUAAUACACUGAUCAAAAGUUCA